GGACUACAGGGGUAUCUAAUCCUGUUUGCUCCCCGCGCUUUCGUGCCUGAGCGUCAGAACUCGGCCAGGACGCUGCCUGCGCCGUCGGUGUUCUUCCGGAUCUCUAUGCAUUUCACCGCUCCACCCGGAAUUCCACGUCCCUCUCCGAGCCUCAAGCCCCCCAGUCGUCACGGCCCUCUCCCAGUUGAGCCAGGAGCUUUCACCGCCACCUUAAGGGGCCGCCUGCGCACCCUUUACGCCCAGUAACUCCGGACAACGCUCGCCUCCUACGUCUUACCGCGGCGGCUGGCAC
rnacentral:rRNA from 1 species